rnacentral:rRNA from 1 species
UUACAUUUGAGUGAGUGGCGAACUGGUGAGUAACACGUGGGAAACCUGCCCAGAAGCGGGGGAUAACACCUGGAAACAGAUGCUAAUACCGCAUAACAACUUGGACCGCAUGGUCCGAGUUUGAAAGAUGGCUUCGGCUAUCACUUUUGGAUGGUCCCGCGGCGUAUUAGCUAGAUGGUGRGGUAACGGCUCACCAUGGCAAUGAUACGUAGCCGACCUGAGAGGGUAAUCGGCCACAUUGGGACUGAGACACGGCCCAAACUCCUACGGGAGGCAGCAGUAGGGAAUCUUCCACAAUGGACGAAAGUCUGAUGGAGCAACGCCGCGUGAGUGAAGAAGGGUUUCGGCUCGUAAAACUCUGUUGUUAAAGAAGAACAUAUCUGAGAGUAACUGUUCAGGUAUUGACGGUAUUUAACCAGAAAGCCACGG